rnacentral:misc_RNA from 1 species
GAAAUGCGAUAAGUAGUGUGAAUUGCAGAAUUCCGUGAAUCAUCGAAUCUUUGAACGCACAUUGCGCCUCCUGGCAUUCCGGGAGGCAUGCCCGUUCGAGUGUCAUCAAUACCACCUCAGGCAUGCUUGCCUGGCCGUGACGCCGGGGUCCCGCCUGCCGCCUGGCGGAGGGCUGGGGCCCCAGCGUCGAACUGUCAUCGCGCGGAGCCCGUGCCGGGCCGUCGGAAGUAAUAAGCACUUUCCCUCUGACGUGACCCGGCCGAGAGACUCCUGCCGGCUUAACCCCCAAAACCUUCUACAAGGCAUGACCUCGGAUGGGUAGGGAUACCCGCUGAACUUAA